CUGACACCUGCCCAGUGCCGGAAGGUUAAGAGGAGGAGUGAGAGCUCCGAUUUGAAGCCCCGGUGAACGGCGGCCGUAACUAUAACGGUCCUAAGGUAGCGAAAUUCCUUGUCGGGUAAGUUCCGACCUGCACGAAUGGUGAAAUGAUUUGAGAGCUGUCUUGGCUGGAGACCUGGUGAAGUUGUAAUGCCGGUGAAGAUACCGGCUACCUGCAGUAGGACGGAAAGACCCCGUGGAGCUUUACUGUAGCUUGGCAUUGGGUUCUGGCAAUGUGUGUAUAGGAUAGUUGGGAGACUGUGAUGUGAUGGCGUCAGCCAUUGCUGAGUCGCUGUUGGAAUACCAACCAUAUGCUGUCGGAAUUCUAAUCUGGCAACGGAGACAGUGCUAGGUGGGCAGUUUGACUGGGGCGGUCGCCUCCCAAAGAGUAACGGAGGCGUUCAAAGGUUCCCUCAGGCUGGAUGGAAAUCAGCCUAAGAGUGCAAACGCAUAAGGGAGCUUGACUGCAAGACUGACGGGUCGAGCAGGUACGAAAGUAGGAGUUAGUGAUCCGGCGGUUCCGCAUGGAAGGACCGUCGCUCAACGGAUAAAAGCUACCCCGGGGAUAACAGGCUGAUACUUCCCAAGAGUCCAUAUCGACGGAAGUGUUUGGCACCUCGAUGUCGGCUCGUCUCAUCCUGGGGCUGGAGAAGGUCCCAAGGGUUGGGCUGUUCGCCCAUUAAAGAGGCACGCGAGCUGGGUUCAGAACGUCGUGAGACAGUUCGGUCCCUAUCCACUGCAGGCGCUUGAAUAUUGAAAAGAUCUGACCUUAGUACGAGAGGACCGGGUUGGACAGACCUCUGAUGUAUCAGUUGUCACGCCAGUGGCAUGGCUGAGUAGUCACGUCUGGUACGGAUAACCGCUGAAAGCAUCUAAGCGGGAAGCCGGCUUUGAGAUGAAUAUUCGUAGUAUCCAUAGAGAACAUAUGGUCGAUAGGCUAGGGGUGCAAGUGCAGCAAUGCAUUUAGCUGACUAGUACUAAUAUUACGUCUGCUUUUAAGAU
rnacentral:rRNA from 1 species